GACCUGUUGGCGCACUCGGCAGCGCAUAACUUGAUAUAUCCUCGACAGCUAUAUGAGUGGUCCCAGUUCGACUCUGGGAUGGGACA